rnacentral:rRNA from 1 species
UUUAUGGAGAGUUUGAUCCUGGCUCAGAGUGAACGCUGGCGGCGUGCCUAAUACAUGCAAGUCGAACGAUGAAGCUUCUAGCUUGCUAGAAUGCUGAUUAGUGGCGCACGGGUGAGUAACGCAUAGGUCAUGUGCCUCUUAGUUUGGGAUAGCCAUUGGAAACGAUGAUUAAUACCAGAUACUCCCUACGGGGGAAAGAUUUAUCGCUAAGAGAUCAGCCUAUGUCCUAUCAGCUUGUUGGUAAGGUAAUGGCUUACCAAGGCUAUGACGGGUAUCCGGCCUGAGAGGGUGAACGGACACACUGGAACUGAGACACGGUCCAGACUCCUACGGGAGGCAGCAGUAGGGAAUAUUGCUCAAUGGGGGAAACCCUGAAGCAGCAACGCCGCGUGGAGGAUGAAGGUUUUAGGAUUGUAAACUCCUUUUGUUAGAGAAGAUAAUGACGGUAUCUAACGAAUAAGCACCGGCUAACUCCGUGCCAGCAGCCGCGGUAAUACGGAGGGUGCAAGCGUUACUCGGAAUCACUGGGCGUAAAGAGCGCGUAGGCGGGAUAGUCAGUCAGGUGUGAAAUCCUAUGGCUUAACCAUAGAACUGCAUUUGAAACUACUAUUCUAGAGUGUGGGAGAGGUAGGUGGAAUUCUUGGUGUAGGGGUAAAAUCCGUAGAGAUCAAGAGGAAUACUCAUUGCGAAGGCGACCUGCUGGAACAUUACUGACGCUGAUUGCGCGAAAGCGUGGGGAGCAAACAGGAUUAGAUACCCUGGUAGUCCACGCCCUAAACGAUGGAUGCUAGUUGUUGGAGGGCUUAGUCUCUCCAGUAAUGCAGCUAACGCAUUAAGCAUCCCGCCUGGGGAGUACGGUCGCAAGAUUAAAACUCAAAGGAAUAGACGGGGACCCGCACAAGCGGUGGAGCAUGUGGUUUAAUUCGAAGAUACACGAAGAACCUUACCUAGGCUUGACAUUGAGAGAAUCCGCUAGAAAUAGUGGAGUGUCUGGCUUGCCAGACCUUGAAAACAGGUGCUGCACGGCUGUCGUCAGCUCGUGUCGUGAGAUGUUGGGUUAAGUCCCGCAACGAGCGCAACCCCCUUUCUUAGUUGCUAACAGGUCAUGCUGAGAACUCUAAGGAUACUGCCUCCGUAAGGAGGAGGAAGGUGGGGACGACGUCAAGUCAUCAUGGCCCUUACGCCUAGGGCUACACACGUGCUACAAUGGGGUGCACAAAGAGAAGCAAUACUGCGAAGUGGAGUCAAUCUUCAAAACACCUCUCAGUUCGGAUUGUAGGCUGCAACUCGCCUGCAUGAAGCUGGAAUCGCUAGUAAUCGCAAAUCAGCCAUGUUGCGGUGAAUACGUUCCCGGGUCUUGUACUCACCGCCCGUCACACCAUGGGAGUUGUGUUUGCCUUAAGUCAGGAUGCUAAAUUGGCUACUGCCCACGGCACACACAGCGACUGGGGUGAAGUCGUAACAAGGUAACCGUAGGUGAACCUGCGGUUGGAUCACCUCCUUU